rnacentral:rRNA from 1 species
GACGAACGCUGGCGGCGUGCUUAACACAUGCAAGUCGAACGGAAAGGCCCUGUCCUUGUGGGGUGCUCGAGUGGCGAACGGGUGAGUAACACGUGAGUAACCUGCCCUUGCCUUUGGGAUAACUUCAGGAAACUGGGGCUAAUACAGGAUAGGAGAUUCUGCUGCAUGGUGGGGGUUGGAAAGUUUCGGCGGUUGGGGAUGGACUCGCGGCUUAUCAGCUUGUUGGUGGGGUAGUGGCGUACGAAGGCUUUGACGGGUAGCCGGCCUGAGAGGGUGGCCGGCCACAUUGGGACUGAGAUGCGGGCCAGACGCCUACGGGAGGCAGCAGUGGGGAAUAUUGCACAAUGGGCAGAAGCCUGAUGCGACAACGCCGCGUGCGGGAUGACGGCCUUCCGGUUGUAAACCGCUUUCGCCUGUGACGUAGCGGGAGUGACGGUAAUGGGUAAAGAAGCACCGGCUAACUACGUG